rnacentral:sRNA from 1 species
GCUGGGCCCGGUGGCACCCACCUGUCCUCCCAGUGACUCGGGAGGCUGAGGCAGGAGGAUGGCAAGGUGGAGGCCAGCCUCAGCCAAAGCGAGGCCCUGAGCAACUCGGCGAGACCCUGUCUCUAAAUAAAAUAGAAAAAGGGCUGGGGACGGGGCUCAGGGGUGGAGGGCCCCUGAGUUCAACCCCCAGGGCCUGGCUAAGUGGCUGAGGCUGGCCUCCACCUUGUGAUCCUCCUGCCUCAG